GAUGAACGCUGGCGGCGUGCCUAAUACAUGCAAGUCGAGCGAACAGACGAGGAGCUUGCUCCUCUGACGUUAGCGGCGGACGGGUGAGUAACACGUGGAUAACCUACCUAUAAGACUUGGAUAACUUCGGGAAACCGGAGCUAAUACCGGAUAAUAUAUUGAACCGCAUGGUUCAAUAGUGAAAGACUGUUUUGCAGUCACGUAUAGAUGGAUCCGCUCCGCAUUAGCUAGUUGGUAAAGUAACGGGUUACCAAGGCAACGAUGGCUAACCGACCUGAGAGGGUGAAUGGCCACACUGGCACUGAGACACGGUCGACACUCCUACGGGAGGACGCAGUAGGAAAUCUUACGCAAUGGGCGAAAGCCUGAUGGAGCACAGUCGAGUGAGUGCUGAUGGUCUUAGGAUCCUUAAACUAUGUUAUUAGGGAAGAACAAAUGUGCAAGUAACUAUGCACGUCUUGACGGUACCUAAUCAGAAAGCCACGGCUAACUACGUG
rnacentral:rRNA from 1 species